UGGGGAAUAUUGCACAAUGGGCGAAAGCCUGAUGCAGCGACGCCGCGUGAGGGAUGACGGCCUUCGGGUUGUAAACCUCUUUCAGCAGGGACGAAGCGCAAGUGACGGUACCUACAGAAGAAGCACCGGCUAACUACGUGCCAGCAGCCGCGGUAAUACGUAGGGUGCAAGCGUUGUCCGGAAUUACUGGGCGUAAAGAGUUCGUAGGCGGUUUGUCGCGUCGUUUGUGAAAACCAGCAGCUCAACUGCUGGCUUGCAGGCGAUACGGGCAGACUUGAGUACUGCAGGGGAGACUGGAAUUCCUGGUGUAGCGGUGAAAUGCGCAGAUAUCAGGAGGAACACCGGUGGCGAAGGCGGGUCUCUGGGCAGUAACUGACGCUGAGGAACGAAAGCGUGGGUAGCGAACAGG
rnacentral:rRNA from 1 species